CGGAGGGUGCGAGCGUUGUUCGGAAUUAUUGGGCGUAAAGCGCGUGUAGGCGGCUCCUUAAGUCUGAUGUGAAAGCCCCGGGCUCAACCUGGGAAGUGCAUUGGAAACUGGGGAACUUGAAUACGGGAGAGGGUAGUGGAAUUCCUGGUGUAGGAGUGAAAUCCGUAGAUAUCAGGAGGAACACCGGUGGCGAAGGCGGCUACCUGGACCGAUAUUGACGCUGAGACGCGAAAGCUGGGGGAGCAAACAGGAUUAGAUACCCUGGUAGUCCCAGCUGUAAACGGUGCGCACUUGGUGUGGGAGGUAUUGACCCCUCCCGUGCCGGAGCUAACGCGUUAAGUGCGCCGCCUGGGGAGUACGGUCGCAAGAUUA
rnacentral:rRNA from 1 species